GGUUUCUCUGUGUAGCCCUGGCUGUCCUGGAACUGUAGACCAGGCUGGUCUCGAACUCAGAAAUCUGACUGCCUCUGCCUCCCAAGUGCUGGGAUUAAAGGCGUGCACCACCACACCCG
rnacentral:miRNA from 1 species